AACCCCAAUGUGAACGUUACCAAUCUGUUGCCUCGGCGGGAUUCUCUGCCCCGGGCGCGUCGCAGCCCCGGAUCCCAUGGCGCCCGCCGGAGGACCAACUCAAACUCUUUUUUCUCUCCGUCGCGGCUUCCGUCGCGGCUCUGUUUUACCUUUGCUCUGAGCCUUUCUCGGCGACCCUAGCGGGCGUCUCGAAAAUGAAUCAAAACUUUCAACAACGGAUCUCUUGGUUCUGGCAUCGAUGAAGAACGCAGCGAAAUGCGAUAAGUAAUGUGAAUUGCAGAAUUCAGUGAAUCAUCGAAUCUUUGAACGCACAUUGCGCCCGCCAGUAUUCUGGCGGGCAUGCCUGUCCGAGCGUCAUUUCAACCCUCGAACCCCUCCGGGGGGUCGGCGUUGGGGAUCGGCCCCUCACCGGGCCGCCCCCGAAAUACAGUGGCGGUCUCGCCGCAGCCUCUCCUGCGCAGUAGUUUGCACACUCGCACCGGGAGCGCGGCGCGGCCACAGCCGUAAAACACCCCAAACUCUGAAAUGUUGACCUCGGAUCAGGUAGGAAUACCCGCUGAACUUAAGCAUAUCAAUAA
rnacentral:rRNA from 1 species